GACGAACGCUGGCGGCGUGCUUAACACAUGCAAGUCGAGCGGUGAGGCCCGUUUCGGGGGUACACGAGCGGCGAACGGGUGAGUAACACGUGGGUGACCUGCCCUCAGCUCUGGGAUAAGCCUGGGAAACCGGGUCUAAUAUUGGAUAUGACUCCAUGACGCAUGUUGUGGGGUGGAAAGCCUUGUGCGGCUGAGGAUGGGCCCGCGGCCUAUCAGCUUGUUGGUGGGGUGAUGGCCUACCAAGGCGACGACGGGUAGCCGGCCUGAGAGGGCGACCGGCCACACUGGGACUGAGACACGGCCCAGACUCCUACGGGAGGCGGCAGUGGGGAAUCUUGCGCAAUGGGCGAAAGCCUGACGCAGCGACGCCGCGUGAGGGAUGACGGCCU
rnacentral:rRNA from 1 species